rnacentral:rRNA from 1 species
GAUGAACGCUGGCGGCGUGCUUAGCACAUGCAAGUCGAACGAAGAUGCCGGAGUGCUUGCACUUUGGCAGACUGAGUGGCGGACGGGUGAGUAACGCGUGGGUAACCUGCCUUAUACAGGGGGAUAACAGUUGGAAACGACUGCUAAUACCGCAUAAGCGCACGGUAUCGCAUGAUACAGUGUGAAAAACUCCGGUGGUAUAAGAUGGACCCGCGUCUGAUUAGCUAGUUGGUGAGGUAACGGCCCACCAAGGCGACGAUCAGUAGCCGGCCUGAGAGGGUGAACGGCCACAUUGGGACUGAGACACGGCCCAAACUCCUACGGGAGGCAGCAGUGGGGAAUAUUGCACAAUGGGGGAAACCCUGAUGCAGCGACGCCGCGUGAGUGAUGAAGUAUUUCGGUAUGUAAAACUCUAUCAGCAGGGAAGAUAAUGACGGUACCUGACUAAGAAGCACCGGCUAAAUACGUGCCAGCAGCCGACGG